AGAGUUUGAUCAUGGCUCAGAAUCAACGCUGGCGGCGCGCUUAACACAUGCAAGUCGCACGAGAAAGUGGGAAACCAUGAGUACAGUGGCGUACGGGUGAGUAACACGUGGGUAAUCUACCUCUGAGUGGGGAAUAACCCUGGGAAACCGGGGCUAAUACCGCAUAAUCUCGAGAGAGGAAAGCAGCAAUGCGCUGAGAGAGGAGCCCGCGGCCGAUUAGCUAGUUGGUAGGGUAAGAGCCUACCAAGGCAGAGAUCGGUAGCCGGCCUGAGAGGGCACACGGCCACACUGGCACUGAAACACGGGCCAGACUCCUACGGGAGGCAGCAGUGGGGAAUCUUGCACAAUGGGGGAAACCCUGAUGCAGCGACGCCGCGUGAGCGAUGAAGCCCUUCGGGGUGUAAAGCUCUUUCGUCAGGGAAGAUCAUGACGGUACCUGGAGAAGCAGCUGCGGCUAACUACGUGCCAGCAGCCGCGGUAAUACGUAGGCAGCGAGCGUUGUUCGGAGUUACUGGGCGUAAAGGGUGUGUAGGCGGUUCUUUAAGUUUGGUGUGAAAUCUCCCGGCUCAACCGGGAGGGUGCGCCGAAUACUGAGGGACUUGGAGUGCGGGAGAGGAAAGUGGAAUUCCUGGUGUAGCGGUGAAAUGCGUAGAUAUCAGGAGGAACACCGGUGGUGUAGACGGCUUUCUGGACCGUAACUGACGCUGAGACACGAAAGCGUGGGUAGCAAACAGGAUUAGAUACCCUGGUAGUCCACGCCCUAAACGAUGCAUAUUUGGUGUGGGUCAUUCAGUUGAUCCGUGCCGGAGCUAACGCGUUAAAUAUGCCGCCUGGGGAGUACAGUCGCAAGGCUGAAACUCAAAGGAAUUGACGGGGCCCGCACAAGCGGUGGAGCAUGUGGUUCAAUUCGACGCAACGCGAAGAACCUUACCUGGGCUCGAACGGCUGGUCAACGGAAGGUGGAAACAUCUUUAC
rnacentral:rRNA from 1 species